UACGAAGGGGGCUAGCGUUGUUCGGAAUUACUGGGCGUAAAGCGCACGUAGGCGGCUUUGCAAGUCAGAGGUGAAAGCCUGGAGCUCAACUCCAGAAUUGCCUUUGAGACUGCAUCGCUUGAACACGGGAGAGGUGAGUGGAAUUCCGAGUGUAGAGGUGAAAUUCGUAGAUAUUCGGAAGAACACCAGUGGCGAAGGCGGCUCACUGGACCGUUGUUGACGCUGAGGUGCGAAAGCGUGGGGAGCAAACAGG
rnacentral:rRNA from 1 species